rnacentral:misc_RNA from 1 species
GAUGAAGAACGUAGCAAAAUGCGAUAAGUAAUGUGAAUUGCAGAAUUCAGUGAAUCAUCGAAUCUUUGAACGCACAUUGCGCCCGCCAGUAUUCUGGCGGGCAUGCCUGUUCGAGCGUCAUUUCAACCAUCAAGCCCCAGGCUUGUGUUGGGGACCUGCGGCUGCCGCAGGCCCUGAAAACCAGUGGCGGGCUCGCUAGUCACACCGAGCGUAGUAGCAUACACAUCGCUCAGGGCGUGCUGCGGGUUCCGGCCGUUAAACCCCUUUUUUACCCAAGGUUGACCUCGGAUCAGGUAGGAAGACCCGCUGAACUUAAGCAUAUCAAUAAGGAGGA